GCCGGGCAGCUCGUAGGUGUGAGGAGCGCUCGUAGGAGGGAAUUCGACACAGCCGGGCAAACCCUACUCAAUUGGAGUAGGACUUGAGUUGGAAACUGCGGUCUCACCGCCUAUUAGUGGGAAAAACAUAUUUCUAGAGUGCUUCCGCCCGCCGCCAGCCAUGGGCUGGGACUACAAGUCCAGGCCGGCCGGAGUCCAGGAGUGGGGGCGGGGGAGGGCGGCGGUGGGAAGAGAGGCAUGCUGGGAACUGUAGUAGUGUCAUCUCCACGUUCGCAGCAGAUCAGAUUGGUCAGGCAAUUUGGUUAAAAUAGGAAAUGUCAGUGGUAGGCCGCUUUUCCCAGAUGAGUGUUUAGAAGCACCUUGGAAUUUAGUGAUAAACUUGAAGAAAACAGAAAUAACCACUUCCAGAUGUGCCCUUCCAAAUGUCUUCCUAUGCAUUUACAUACAGAGGACACAGGUUCGAGCCCCGGUCCGGGAAGAUCCCUCAUGCCGCGGAGUAACUAAGCCCGUGCACCACAACUACUGAGCCUGCACGUCACAACUACUGAGCCCGUGUGCCACAACUACUGAAGCCCGCGUGCCUAGAGCCCUGCUCCUCAACAAGAGAAGCCACCGCAACGAGAAGCCCAUGCACCGCAACUAGAGAAAGCCCGCGCACGGCAACGAAGACCCAACGCAGCCAAAAAUUAAAUAAAUAAAUAAAUAAAAUUGUGGACAGAGAAAGAGAAAUACUGUAUAAUCUCAAUUAUAUGUGGACUCUAAAACAAACUCAUAGAAAAAAGAGAUCAGACUUGUGGUUACCAGAGUCAGAGGGUGUGGGGAGGGGGAAUCAGAGGAAGGUGGUCAAAAGGUACAAACUUCCAGUUAUAACGUAAAUAAGUACUAGGGAUAUGAUGUACAAUAUGAUGACUAUAGUUAACACUUAUAUGAUAUAUAGGAAAAUUGUAGAAAGAGAGUAAAUCCUAAGAGUUCUCAUCACAAGGAGAAAAGUUAUUUUCUUUUUUCUUCUUUCU